UACGUAGGUGGCAAGCGUUGUCCGGAAUUAUUGGGCGUAAAGCGCGCGCAGGCGGUCCUUUAAGUCUGCUGUGAAAGUCCAGGGCUCAACCCUGGAAGGCCGGUGGAAACUGUCGGGCUAGAGUCCGGAAGAGGCGAGUGGAAUUCCCGGUGUAGCGGUGAAAUGCGCAGAUAUCGGGAGGAACACCAAUGGCGAAGGCAGCUCGCUGGGACGGUACUGACGCUGAGACGCGAAAGCGUGGGGAGCAAACAGG
rnacentral:rRNA from 1 species